AGCUCCAAUAGCGUAUAUUAAAGUUGUUGCAGUUAAAAAGCUCGUAGUUGAACUUCGGAACCGGUCGAUUGGUCCGUCCUCUGGAUUGUGUACUGAUCGAUCUGUUCUUCUUCGCGAAGACCGCGUGUGCCCUUAACUGGGUGUGCACGGGAUUCACGACGUUUACUUUGAAAAAAUUAGAGUGUUCAAAGCAGGCAUUCGCUUGGAUAUCUCAGCAUGGAAUAAUAGAAUAGGACUUUGGUCUUAUUUUGUUGGUUUCCGAGACCGAAGUAAUGAUUAAUAGGGACAGUUGGGGGCAUUCGUAUUUCAUUGUCAGAGGUGAAAUUCUUGGAUUUAUGAAAGACGAACUUCUGCGAAAGCAUUUGCCAAGGAUGUUUUCA
rnacentral:rRNA from 1 species